rnacentral:rRNA from 1 species
GACGAACGCUGGCGGUGUGCUUAACACAUGCAAGUCGAACGGUAAGGCCCUUUCGGGGGUACACGAGUGGCGAACGGGUGAGUAACACGUGAGUAACCUGCCCUCAUCUCUGGGAUAACAGUCGGAAACGGUUGCUAAUACUGGAUAUGAGCUUGCAAGGCAUCUUGUGGGUUGGAAAGAUUUUUUCGGUUGGGGAUGGACUCGCGGCCUAUCAGCUUGUUGGUGAGGUAGUGGCUCACCAAGGCUUCGACGGGUAGCCGGCCUGAGAGGGCGACCGGCCACAUUGGGACUGAGAUACGGCCCAAACUCCUACGGGAGGCAGCAGUGGGGAAUAUUGCACAAUGGACGGAAGUCUGAUGCAGCAACGCCGCGUGCGGGAUGACGGCCUUCGGGUUGUAAACCGCUUUCAAUUGUGACGAAGCUUUUUGUGACGGUAGCAGUAGAAGAAGCACCGGCUAACUACGUG